rnacentral:rRNA from 1 species
UACGGAGGGUGCGAGCGUUGUCCGGAAUCACUGGGCGUAAAGGGCGCGUAGGCGGCUUGGGAAGUCCGUGGUGAAAGCUCGUGGCUCAACUGCGAGUCGGCCAUGGAUACUCCUAAGCUCGAGCACUGUAGAGGCAGGUGGAAUUCCGGGUGUAGCGGUGGAAUGCGUAGAGAUCCGGAAGAACACCAGUGGCGAAGGCGGCUCUCUGGGCAUGUCCUGACGCUGAGGAGCGAAAGUGUGGGGAGCGAACAGG